UACGGGGGGGGCAAGCGUUGUUCGGAAUUACUGGGCGUAAAGGGCGCGUAGGCGGCCUGCUAAGUCGAACGUGAAAUCCCCGGGCUUAACCCGGGAACUGCGUCCGAUACUGGCUGGCUUGAAUCCGGGAGAGGGAUGCGGAAUUCCAGGUGUAGCGGUGAAAUGCGUAGAUAUCUGGAGGAACACCGGUGGCGAAGGCGGCAUCCUGGACCGGUAUUGACGCUGAUGCGCGAAAGCCAGGGGAGCAACGGGG
rnacentral:rRNA from 1 species